rnacentral:rRNA from 1 species
GGAGCGUUCUGUAAGCCUGCGAAGGUGUGCUGUGAGGCAUGCUGGAGGUAUCAGAAGUGCGAAUGCUGACAUAAGUAACGAUAAAGCGGGUGAAAAGCCCGCUCGCCGGAAGACCAAGGGUUCCUGUCCAACGUUAAUCGGGGCAGGGUGAGUCGACCCCUAAGGCGAGGCCGAAAGGCGUAGUCGAUGGGAAACAGGUUAAUAUUCCUGUACUUGGUGUUACUGCGAAGGGGGGACGGAGAAGGCUAUGUUGGCCGGGCGACGGUUGUCCCGGUUUAAGCGUGUAGGCUGGUUUUCCAGGCAAAUCCGGAAAAUCAAGGCUGAGGCGUGAUGACGAGGCACUACGGUGCUGAAGCAACAAAUGCCCUGCUUCCAGGAAAAGCCUCUAAGCAUCAGGUAACAUCAAAUCGUACCCCAAACCGACACAGGUGGUCAGGUAGAGAAUACCAAGGCGCUUGAGAGAACUCGGGUGAAGGAACUAGGCAAAAUGGUGCCGUAACUUCGGGAGAAGGCACGCUGAUAUGUAGGUGAAGUCCCUUGCGGAUGGAGCUGAAAUCAGUCGAAGAUACCAGCUGGCUGCAACUGUUUAUUAAAAACACAGCACUGUGCAAACACGAAAGUGGACGUAUACGGUGUGACGCCUGCCCGGUGCCGGAAGGUUAAUUGAUGGGGUCAGCGCAAGCGAAGCUCUUGAUCGAAGCCCCGGUAAACGGCGGCCGUAACUAUAACGGUCCUAAGGUAGCGAAAUUCCUUGUCGGGUAAGUUCCGACCUGCACGAAUGGCGUAAUGAUGGCCAGGCUGUCUCCACCCGAGACUCAGUGAAAUUGAACUCGCUGUGAAGAUGCAGUGUACCCGCGGCAAGACGGAAAGACCCCGUGAACCUUUACUAUAGCUUGACACUGAACAUUGAGCCUUGAUGUGUAGGAUAGGUGGGAGGCUUUGAAGUGUGGACGCCAGUCUGCAUGGAGCCGGCCUUGAAAUACCACCCUUUAAUGUUUGAUGUUCUAACGUGGACCCGUGAUCCGGGUUGCGGACAGUGUCUGGUGGGUAGUUUGACUGGGGCGGUCUCCUCCUAAAGAGUAACGGAGGAGCACGAAGGUUGGCUAAUCCUGGUCGGACAUCAGGAGGUUAGUGCAAUGGCAUAAGCCAGCUUGACUGCGAGCGUGACGGCGCGAGCAGGUGCGAAAGCAGGUCAUAGUGAUCCGGUGGUUCUGAAUGGAAGGGCCAUCGCUCAACGGAUAAAAGGUACUCCGGGGAUAACAGGCUGAUACCGCCCAAGAGUUCAUAUCGACGGCGGUGUUUGGCACCUCGAUGUCGGCUCAUCACAUCCUGGGGCUGAAGUAGGUCCCAAGGGUAUGGCUGUUCGCCAUUUAAAGUGGUACGCGAGCUGGGUUUAGAACGUCGUGAGACAGUUCGGUCCCUAUCUGCCGUGGGCGCUGGAGAACUGA